CCUACGGGAGGCAGCAGUGAGGAAUAUUGGUCAAUGGACGAGAGUCUGAACCAGCCAAGUAGCGUGAAGGAUGACUGCCCUAUGGGUUGUAAACUUCUUUUAUAAAGGAAUAAAACGAGGCACGUGUGCCUUUUUGCAUGUACUUUAUGAAUAAGGAUCGGCUAACUCCGUGCCAGCAGCCGCGGUAAUACGGAGGAUCCGAGCGUUAUCCGGAUUUAUUGGGUUUAAAGGGAGCGUAGAGGGUUUGUUAAGUCAGUUGUGAAAGUUUGCGGCUCAAACGUAAAAUUGCAAUUGAUACUGGCAGUCUAGAGUACAGUUGAGGUAGGCGGAAUUCGUGGUGUAGCGGUGAAAUGCUUAGAUAUCACGAAGAACCCCGAUUGCGAAGGCAGCUUACUAAACUGUGACUGACAUUGAUGCUCGAAAGUGUGGGUAUCAAACAGGAUUAGAUACCCGAGUAGUC
rnacentral:rRNA from 1 species